rnacentral:lncRNA from 1 species
CAGGUUCAAGUUCAAUCACAAAUUCUAGUUCUCGUGCUAGUGGCAACCCAGGCAGUUCUUCAGGAAAGACAUCAGCAUACUCCUUAACUAUUGACACUUGUUCGAUUUUUGAUUAAGUCAUUUCUGAAUCAAGAAUGUAGGCUAAAUAAGCUUCACAACCCUUUUUAAUCAAUUAUGGAGCUGUCAAUACCGAAAUUACAUUUGUAAUACAAUUGACCCCAUCUGCCUUAACACAAAUAAGUUCACC